rnacentral:rRNA from 1 species
GACGAACGCUGGCGGCGUGCUUAACACAUGCAAGUCGAACGGAAAGGCCCUGCUUUUGUGGGGUGCUCGAGUGGCGAACGGGUGAGUAACACGUGAGUAACCUGCCCUUGACUUUGGGAUAACUUCAGGAAACUGGGGCUAAUACCGGAUAGGAGCUCCUGCUGCAUGGUGGGGGUUGGAAAGUUUGGGCGGUUGGGGAUGGACUCGCGGCUUAUCAGCUGGUUGGUGGGGUAGUGGCUUACCAAGGCCUUGACGGGUAGCCGGCCUGUGAGGGUGACCGGGCCCCUUGGGCCUGAGAGAGGGAGCAGACUGCUACGGGAGGCAACAGUGGGGAGUAUUGCACAAUGGGCGGGAGCGUGAUGAGAAGACGCCGCGUGCGGGAUGCCGGGUUUCGGGUUGUGAACAGCUUUCGCCUGUGACGAAGCGUGAGUGACGGUAAUGGAUAAAGAAGCACCGGCUAACUACGUG